rnacentral:rRNA from 1 species
GCCCUGGGCGGCGUGCUUACACAUGCAAGUCGAACGGUGAAGCCAAGCUUGCUUGGUGGAUCAGUGGCGAACGGGUGAGUAACACGUGAGCAACCUGCCCUGGACUCUGGGAUAAGCGCUGGAAACGGCGUCUAAUACUGGAUACGAGACGUGGCCGCAUGGUCAACGUUUGGAAAGAUUUUUUGGUUCAGGAUGGGCUCGCGGCCUAUCAGCUUGUUGGUGAGGUAAUGGCUCACCAAGGCGUCGACGGGUAGCCGGCCUGAGAGGGUGACCGGCCACACUGGGACUGAGACACGGCCCAGACUCCUACGGGAGGCAGCAGUGGGGAAUAUUGCACAAUGGGCGAAAGCCUGAUGCAGCAACGCCGCGUGAGGGAUGACGGCCUUCGGGUUGUAAACCUCUUUUAGCAAGGAAGAAGCGAAAGUGACGGUACUUGCAGAAAAAGCACCGGCUAACUACGUGCCAGCAGCCGCGGUAAUACGUAGGGUGCAAGCGUUAUCCGGAAUUAUUGGGCGUAAAGAGCUCGUAGGCGGUUUGUCGCGUCUGCUGUGAAAUCUGGGGGCUCAACCCCCAGCCUGCAGUGGGUACGGGCAGACUAGAGUGCGGUAGGGGAGAUUGGAAUUCCUGGUGUAGCGGUGGAAUGCGCAGAUAUCAGGAGGAACACCGAUGGCGAAGGCAGAUCUCUGGGCCGUAACUGACGCUGAGGAGCGAAAGGGUGGGGAGCAAACAGGCUUAGAUACCCUGGUAGUCCACCCCGUAAACGUUGGGAACUAGUUGUGGGGACCAUUCCACGGUUUCCGUGACGCAGCUAACGCAUUAAGUUCCCCGCCUGGGGAGUACGGCCGCAAGGCUAAAACUCAAAGGAAUUGACGGGGACCCGCACAAGCGGCGGAGCAUGCGGAUUAAUUCGAUGCAACGCGAAGAACCUUACCAAGGCUUGACAUAUUCGAGAACGCCGUAGAAAUACGGAACUCUUUGGACACUCGUUUACAGGUGGUGC